rnacentral:rRNA from 1 species
AUGGGGAGCUCCAGCUGCUUGUCAGUGGGUGCCGCUGUGAUCCUGCUUCUGGUACUGGCUUCGGCAAUGGAGGCCCAAGCCAUCCGACUCGACGCGGAGACCCGGGCGUCAGUGAGCAGCAGCGGCAACCAAAUGACUGCCGAUAAACCAACUGGGAAUAAUGUCGUCGAUGUGGUCAAGGCUUCUGCUAGCUCGACAAGCGAGUCGAAGAGGAGCGUCGAUGUUGCCACGGGUGAAGUUAGGGCGGUGGCGCAUAAGAUGCCGGAGUUCCAUGAGGACUACUACGGCCCGAGUGAUCACAGCCCUAGGCACCACUGA